rnacentral:misc_RNA from 1 species
AACGCACAUUGCGCCCGCCAGUAUUCUGGCGGGCAUGCCUGUUCGAGCGUCAUUUCAACCAUCAAGCCCCUGUGCUUGUGUUGGAGUCCUGCGGCUGCCGCAGGCUCCCAAACCCAGUGGCGGGCUCGUCGUCGUACCGAGUGCAGUAAAUUUACCACGCUCAGGGCACACGACGGGUGACCGGCCGUAAAACCCCCCCCUUCUCAAGGUUGACCUCGGAUCAGGUAGGAAUACCCGCUGAACUUAA